AUUGAACGCUGGCGGCAGGCCUAACACAUGCAAGUCGAGCGGAUGAAGGGAGCUUGCUCCUGGAUUCAGCGGCGGACGGGUGAGUAAUGCCUAGGAAUCUGCCUGGUAGUGGGGGAUAACGUCCGGAAACGGGCGCUAAUACCGCAUACGUCCUGAGGGAGAAAGUGGGGGAUCUUCGGACCUCACGCUAUCAGAUGAGCCUAGGUCGGAUUAGCUAGUUGGUGGGGUAAAGGCCUACCAAGGCGACGAUCCGUAACUGGUCGGAGAGGAUGAUCAAUCACACUGGAACUGAGACACGGUCCAGACUCCUACGGGAGGCAGCAGUGGGGAAUAUUGGACAAUGGGCGAAAGCCUGAUCCAGCCAUGCCGCGUGUGUGAAGAAGGUCUUCGGAUUGUAAAGCACUUUAAGUUGGGAGGAAGGGCAGUAAGUUAAUACCUUGCUGUUUUGACGUUACCAACAGAAUAAGCACCGGCUAACUUCGUG
rnacentral:rRNA from 1 species